GGGGUGUUAGCUCAGUUGGUUAGAGCGCCGGCCUGUCACGUCGGAGGUCGCGAGUUCGAGUCUCGUACAUCCCGCCA
rnacentral:tRNA from 49 species